UGCCAGGCAAUACUCAGUGAAAGGACUGCCUUAUCAGACGACGGUCUUCAGUCAGUGAGUGUCACGACACAGGGCGAAAGAACAAGUCAUGGUGGCGCUGCACUGAUUCAGCACUGCAUUGGGUGAUUAUAAAAGGGAGACGGAGUGUUCAUAUCUUCAAAGUCAACACCACGUGACACAACUCGGAAAGUAUAACUGACUGUUGUCUUCUUGUCCACGAUUCACGCCAAUGCCCUCCCUUCUCUCCAACUGUACACCAUAAGUUCCUGCCAAUAUCCUACAGUCAACCCCACAUCAUUCUACAGUCCUACAUUCAACUACGGAGAGCCGCUGACGCUAUUCGAUACGGGCGUUGAGAACCACUCCGCCGCCAGGCUUUAGCACUCAACGCAGGAUGGAGACAGAGCAGCUGUAGCCUUUAUGUUCUUCCAUCUCGCUAUUUUAUUUCCCUAUAUCUGUCUUAUUCCUCAUUUACCAUGUUCAUAAAAAAGUAUGUUGUAAUUAUUUUGAACGUAGUAUUAGCAGUAGUGUUUCUAAUGGUGGUGCCACUGGAUGUAGUAGAAGUAGUAAGUAAGAGGAGAAGCAGGAGGU